UGGUUCUGGCAUCGAUGAAGAACGCAGCGAAAUGCGAUAAGUAAUGUGAAUUGCAGAAUUCAGUGAAUCAUCGAAUCUUUGAACGCACAUUGCGCCCAUUAGUAUUCUAGUGGGCAUGCCUGUUCGAGCGUCAUUUCAACCUUUAGAUAUUCUUAUCUAAUGUUAAGAGAUGUGAUUUCUUUUAUGGAUUUACACUCUAAAAAUAUAAUGGCAGAAACAACGUCAGCUAAAGCGUAGUAAUUCUCUCGCUUCUGGUUAGCUUUGUGAUCUAGCCCAAACAAAACAUCAGGUUGACCUCGAAUCAGGUAGGAAUACCCGCUGA
rnacentral:misc_RNA from 1 species